rnacentral:pre_miRNA from 1 species
AAAGAACCUUUCGCUUUCACCGGUGACUUUGGUUUGCUAUAUAACUCUACUAAGGCACGCGGUGAAUGCCAAAGGAGAAUGC